GAUGAAGAACGUAGCGAAAUGCGAUAAGUAAUGUGAAUUGCAGAAUUCAGUGAAUCAUCGAAUCUUUGAACGCACAUUGCGCCCUCUGGUAUUCCGGGGGGCAUGCCUGUUCGAGCGUCAUUAUAACCACUCAAGCUCUCGCUUGGUAUUGGGGUUCGCGGUUUCGCGGCCCCUAAAAUCAGUGGCGGUGCCUGUCGGCUCUACGCGUAGUAAUACUUCUCGCGAUUGAGUUCGAUAGGUCUACUUGCCAGUAACCCCCAAUUUUUACAGGUUGACCUCGGAUCAGGUAGGGAUACCCGCUGAACUUAAGCAGAUCAAUAAGCGGAGGA
rnacentral:misc_RNA from 1 species